rnacentral:rRNA from 1 species
AUGUACAUUCCUACAACAUAGCAUUACUGCAUCAGAUCCCAUUAGAACUUUGAAGUUAAGUCACUUGGUCUAGAGUAGUACUGGGAUGGGUGACCACUCGGGAAGUCCUAGUGUUUUACAUU